UACGGGAGGCAGUAGGGGGGAAUAUUGCACAAUGGGCGAAAGCCUGAUGCAGCUAUGCCGCGUGUAUGAAGAAGGCCUUAGGGUUGUAAAGUACUUUCAUCGGGAGGAAAAAACAAACUAAUAAUUUUAUUUCUUGACGUUACCCGAAAAAGAAGCACCGGCUAACUCCGUGCCAGCAGCCGCGGUAAUACGGAGGGUGCUAGCGUUAAUCAGAAUUACUGGGCGUAAAGAGCACGUAGGUGGUUUUUUUAAAGUCAGAUGUGAAAUCCCUGGGCUUAACCUAGGAACUGCAUUUUGAAACUGAAAUACUAGAGUAUCGUAGAGGGAGGUAGAAUUCUAGGUGUAGCGGUGAAAUGCGUAGAUAUCUGGAGGAAUACCUGUGGCGAAAGCGGCCUCCUAAACCGAAUACUGACACUGAGGGUGCGAAAAGCGUGGGGAGCAAACAGGGAUUAGAUA
rnacentral:rRNA from 1 species